CAAAACAUUAAGACAGACAAGCUUUGUAAAAUUUAAAGUUAGAAGCAACAUUCAUUAAUAUAAUGGAAUUUAAUAUUUGCAACUUAAGACAAGUGAUAGUAGGGGGUGUAGUAGGUACUAUGUGUGGAGCUGAGAAAGCCACAUAAUGGGCCCCUCAAGUAAUGACUAAUAACCGUACCCAGAGGAAUAUUCAAAUGUAUAAAAGAUACGCAUCCACAGCUUACAUAGAUCAAUUUAAUAACCACACUUAAUAAGAGCAUGUUUUUCCCACAACCCUCCCCCAUCCCAUAUUGACAUUCAAAUAACCUAGGCAAAAACUUGUCUGCAGUAUAAUUAUAAAGGAAUAGAGCAGCACACAGAAUGUUGGGGGGGGAACAAACAAACAAAAAACCUUUGCAAACAGUGUCUGCUGCAUAGCCAGGCACAACAACAAAACCUAUAACAAAGUGUACCUACUUGUGCACUUCUGUAAAUGUGGUAUACAUGGUACAAUGCACCAAAACACCUCAAUCAACUACUUAAAAGGGAAUUUCAAAAACAUUUGAAAUAAAACUGGCAACAUAUUUUUCUUUUAAAACAGAACUGAAUGCAGAUUGUUGUCACCAAACCAAAAUGUCAUAUAGCUGACACUUAACGUGUAAGCGGACAUGUUUGUGCAUUUAAGUACUUCUACGCUUACUGGUAUUAUAUAAAUUGUUUGUUAUGUUACUUAUGGUUUCCCUUGCCUGGAUUAUUUGGGCUAUUCCGUACACUGAUUACACUCAAUCAUCUUCUGUUAUUUCUGACAAUCCAAUUCCCCUAGCAAAAUUAGUAUAUAUCAGUAGUCUUAAGUUAGAAAUGUGCCAUUGCAUUAUAUUGACUGUAUUUUUAAUAUGCAUUAAGGAACCUCCACCACCCAAAAAAAAAAAAAACUAUUUAAAAAAAAUUAAAGGUGUCACAGCAUGCCUCUCUAAUUUUGGGAGAGGGAAGAAAACAAAAAACAACAAACACCCAUAUAAAACAGAGUAUACUGGACUAAGUUUACUAAAGCGGUCGUGAAAAAUGAAGAGUAUUUUCUUUUUCCCUAACAAAAUGAGGCAAUUGAGAAAACCAAUGGAAUGUCCCUACUGAAAGUAAAAUUAUUCUUUAUAAAUAACAUUGAUUCCGUGCAUGUUCCAGUAUGGAGCACUUAACUUUUUGGUCAUCUCAAGAAGGCAUUGGUAGUUCUUGAGGAGUACAAGUAAACAGGCCAAAAAGAACACAAUAUUGAGAAUUCGGUAGAACAUAUGAAAUGUCAGUCUUUACACUUGGCUUGAUAUAUACAUAUACAAAAAUAUAUGCAUACAUUUUCUGCUUCACACAGGAUCUGGCAACAAUAACAAAUGCCCUAUUCUACAGCACCAUCUAUAAUAAAGGCACUUUUUCAUAGAACUAUUUUGCUUAGUAUAGCACAUCUAUAUUUGUUUAUAUGCUUGUCUAAGAAAUUCUUGAAGUAAUUCUGACAUUUGUAGAAAGUGAAAUCAUGCAUUUUUAAUGUUGAAGAUAUUCUGGACAGUUAGGAAUACAAACAGGCACAGGCAAUAUUCACAUUUAUGUGAAUGCGUGUUUUGUUUUUUUAAAUUUCUGAGAAGGUGAAUACCAGAGACAUUUUCUAGUGAAACUAGUUAAGAGAACCAGUAUUUGCUAAACUCACAUAAAGCAUUUAGAAAAGUAACAGAACAUCUCCUUUCCUAGUGCAGCAGAGGGGGUAACAUUGUGACACCUAGGGUUUGAUUUGGGGGUGCAAAAAGUAUAUUCUGGCUUAAAGGGACACUCUAGGAACAUUGACAACUUCAUCUCAUUGAGUGGGUCUAGGUACAUUCUCCAUGUCUCCUUAAUAAUGCAAUCUAAAAGAUUGCAGUUUUAAAGAAAAUGAAAGGUUUCUAUUACAAGGUUAAGACUGGCUUUACAGGCUACCAGGCAGACACUAGAGGCCCUUAUUGCCGUUUCAUGGAAUCUGACUACGUGAAAGGACGCUGAACAUCCUCACCCUUUGCAUGAGGAUGUCCAGUGUUUUGCAAAAUCCCAUAGGAAAGCAGUGAGUAAAUGCUUUCCUAUGUGGAAGACCUAAUGCGGACAGAGCUCACUAUUCGUAUGCGUUAAGUUGUCCUGGUGCAGACUGAGGAGGUGAAGACUAAUCCACCACUGAGGAAAUUUUUACCCUUUAUUUGCCCGGAGGGGUGAAGGGGCGCAGAGUAACAGUUUAGUGUUAGGAAUAAAAGCUGCAUUCCUAGCACUAUAGUGUUCCUUUAAGAGCAAUAAUUUGUUCCGACGUUAAUAUUGUACAAUUGGCAAAACAAAUUCAGCUUCUGAUUAGCAAGAAAAUGCAAAGUGUACAUUUACUUACACAGUAACUAUCACAUAAUCGGAGGAGCUGUCCACUACACAAAUUGCACAUUUCCUUUUGAUAUAGAAUAUUCAUAAGAAGCACAAAAAUAUACAGCAUGUAUGUCAUAUGGAGCAGCACUUCAGUUACAGCAGCUGAGAGAACCCAUGUGCAGGAAUGUACAAAUAUAUUGCAUUAAAAAAAAAAGGUUAUCUACCUUAAGUGAAAUUAAGACCGUGAAGCUACGACAGACAUGAGAAUAUAGAGAUUUGGAUCUUUUCAAUAUUUUUUUUUUUUUUUUUAAUGACAAAAACAGAGUGUGUAUACACACAGCAGUCAUGGACUUUGCUGCUGAUCAGACACGAAAACAAGAAAAUUUAUGACAUAUGCCAAAACUAGGAGUCAUGAGCACAUCCACAGCUAUGAACUAACACCAAAUAUAGCUUAUUAAAAAAAUAGCAUAUCUAUUAAAUGGCAUUGAAUUAAACCUGUGAAAAUAAGGGAAUGUGCAAGAACCAAUACAAUUUGUGGAUGAAAUGCUAACCAAAAUAGUUAAACUUGUGCCCAAAGCAAGACAGGAAUGGUUGCUGUAGGGGCCAAAAAUGUAAAAUAGAUACUUCGUAUUAUAGGAUCACUAUAGGGUCAGGAACACAAACAUGUAUUCCUGACCCUAUAGUGCUAAACCCACCAUAUAGGUACCUCCCCC
rnacentral:lncRNA from 1 species